AAUAGUUAGAUUAUUUAAUUCAUUUUUUUGUGUGAACUAACCCUUUAUUGGUCAAUAAAGUACAGUUUUUUGCUCCACAGUAAACUAUGGAUUCCCUAUGAUGAGGGAAGUCAGACUGAAGCCAUCACUAUAAGACAAAACCAUGGACGUCUGCCUAGCACAUGUGUAGAAGGAAUCCGCAUAUGAAAACCCCUCAUCGGUCGCAGAACCUUUGAUCCGUAACUUGGAAGAGCGAUGACCUUUGACUAUUCCUGAAUUUAACAUUGGCGUUUGGAGCAUCGUGAUG